CCCGCCCCACCUCACCGCGCGCCACCGGCCACCACCGCCGCCGAGCUGCCGUUCGUCGCCAGCACCCGCGGAUCCGAACGCCCGUCGCCUUCCAUGUCGGCUGCACCUCCCAGCGCCGGCGCCCUACCAAGCUCUGCCGCUGGAGGAUCUCCUCCGCUGGAUCCACAACCCCAUGGCCGGAACAGGUCUUCCUCGAGUAUCCAUGCUCCAUGAUGCUCCGGCCGCCCUCUUCCUCUCUGUUCCCUCCCAUCCCUCCUACCACAGCCGAGGCUCUAGGCGCCCUCUUCUCACCCGUUACCCCUCUUCCUCCCUGUUCCUUCCCACCCCUUCUCCCGCCGGCUCCAACCGUGGUGGUGGGGGGCGAGCAGCUGUCGUCCGGUGGCUGGGGGAGUGAGGAGGGCGCCGGUCUAAAGCACGCCAUUGCAGCCUUGGCAACUUGUGAUGCGCCCUGAGCUUGCUGGGCAUCAGUUCGUGCCUGCCAUAGUGCCAAUGACAAGACCAACGUAAGGGCGGCGCCGGCGCACAGACUGGCGGCGCGGGGUAGACUUGCAGCCAAGGCGCGGCGGCGGCGUGGCGCGCCGGUGCUCAGGAGCCGAGGCGGAGCUUAGUCCAGCUGAGCUACUUGGUUAAUUCUCGGGCGGAGGGCCCAAUGGCUACAGUGGCGGCGACGACCCAACGGCGAAAGGGGAUGGUUGCAUGAUGAUCUUGUUCUGAUCAAUUCUGAAAUAGGAAUGGAGGAUUACUGUGGUGGUCACUGUUGAGGAUGUUGGGUUACCUGACAGUAGGUGUAGCAAUGAAAGGCCUAUAUAUUCUACCAGAAGCAUCCUGGUUUUCUCAUCUUAUUAGUGACUCACUUUCAAAACAUAUGUAUUGGUAGUUUUUAUCUCUAUGCUCUGCCUUCCACAUACUGGAUUGCAAUGUGUUUGUCUUGAUCCAAUCCUUCGUGCGGCCAUGGGGUGUCCGACAGGGACUGAUUUGGCCGUUCUAGAGUCCCAAAACAUAUAAAUACACAUCCACUCCCUCGACUGAAGCCCCAACCCAAUUGCGUCGUUUCAUCCGUGCUCAACAUUGGUGUCUUGCCGUUCUGCCAAAGUCAUGGAAAUCUCACUGUUCUGCCAACCUAGCCGGAAUUUCUCCGUACUGCCGACUUCAUCGGAAUUACAUCCGCCCGUGUAGCCAAGGUACAUCAUUCAAACUGCUCGAGUCAUACUGAUUUGGAGUUGUUUUGGUCAAGCGGUUGAACUGAACCGUGCUACUGCACAAUAGCCAAAAGGAGAGUCAGUUUGUUUCUCCGACCUGUGUGACUUGAAGCACAUAAACUGAACCAUGCUAUUGCACAAUAGCCCAAAGUUUGUCUGAUUUAUAUGAGUAUCAUAAUAUAAUUUUGUUUCUACUAUAUGUAAUAGGUAACCAGCAAUGUUGUUUUCAGCUUACAAGAAUGCUGAUGUUGUUUGAAUGCAUAUAUAAUUAUUGGAAUUAGUUUGAAUGCAUAUACAGUACCUUGAUGUUGAAUUUACAAGGUCCUGAUGUUGGAUUUACUGUCUUAUAGAUUUUGUAAUUUAAAGUUGCUCCACAAAGUUGGUGACUGUUGUUUGUACAGUGAGCUGAUAUAGAAUGCUUCAUCACACAAACUAAUCUAGCUGCAUCAGUAUGGUGAUGGUGGAUUUACACUGUCCUAUAGAUUUUGAAUUUACAAUAUGGUGAUGGUGGAUUUACACUGCCCUAUAGAUUUUGUAAUUUAUUGUAGUAGCUGACUAGCUGUAGCUCCGUAUAGUGUGUCAUUGUUGUUUGUACAGUGAGUUCAUAUAGAAUGCUUGAUCACAUGAAUUUUUUUGAAUGUAUAUUACAGUUUCCUGGUGUUUAAUUUAUAAUACAUUGAUGAUGGAUUUAUGGUCCUAUAGCUUAUGUAAAUUUUAGUAGUUCUUUUGUGACUGCUGUUUUUACAGUGAGAUAAUAGUGAAUUUUCCAGUGGCCACCGCUUUCUGAGAUCACCAUCACUACCUAGCACUCUGAUUUUGCUAUAACUGUUGUCCUCCUAAUAGGUUAUACUUUCUCUUUCUACUUCUUUUGCUUUUCCAUGUUUGUUGCAGUUCAUUGUGAUUCUUUUAUACUCAUUGUACCUCGAUGCUGCAACAAUGGUAACUGAGAAUCCGGCAACACUCAAAUAGAAGUCAAAGAAUUCUUGUCCUUCUCUUGUGUUGAACUCCAUUUCUAGGUGCGGCAUUAUAAUGCUCUCAGUGUUCAUGACAUUUCCUUCGUGUGCUACAAUAUUUCCAUUUUCCAAGAAAUCUCAAUACGCUCUUCAUUUAAAUACUCAUCUUCCUUUUCAAUCUGCCGUAACUGAUGGUUACCCAUGCUUUUCUCAGCUUCAUUAUUACUCUCUUUAUGUUCCACACAUGUGGCAAAUUGUCUGAAGUGUAUGAAUUUCCCCAUAACAUGAUGGAUCCUUCAUCUUCAACUAACCUGCGGCAAGUGUAUGCUUUUUAUUUAUUUAUUUUCUUCAGGAUUUUUUGUUGCUGAGGCAACCUGGAUAUGUGUUUACAUUUCAGUUUCUCUACUUGAUGUUUCUUAAUUACCUUGUCCAAGCUUAGAUUGUCAGGAUUUGAAGAAGUUGGAUCAAUACUGGCUUUAUGUAGAGAAACUUUAUGUAGCUUGCUGUCUUGCUGUACAUUGUUUGAAGCUUUAUGUAGCUUGCUGUCCUGC